rnacentral:rRNA from 1 species
GAUGAACGCUGGCGGCGUGCCUAAUACAUGCAAGUCGAACGAAGAUCUAGCUUGCUAGAUCUUAGUGGCGCACGGGUGAGUAAUACAUAAAUAAUCUGCCCAUAUGCCUGGGAUAACUACUGGAAACGAUAGCUAAUACCGGAUAGGUUAAUCGGAGGCAUCUCUGAUGAAUUAAAGUAGGAUUUCUACACAAAGGGAUGAGUUUAUGGCGCAUUAGUUAGUUGGUGGGGUAACGGCCUACCAAGACGAUGAUGCGUAGCCGACCUGAGAGGGUGACCGGCCACACUGGGACUGAGACACGGCCCAGACUCCUACGGGAGGCAGCAGUAGGGAAUUUUCGGCAAUGGGCGCAAGCCUGGCCGAGCAACGCCGCGUGAGUGAUUAAGGCCUUCGGGUUGUAAAGCUCUGUUGUAAGGGAAGAACAUUCAGGAUAGGAAAUGAUCUUGAACUGACGGUACCUUACCAGAAAGCCACGGCUAACUACGUGCCAGCAGCCGCCGUAAUAC